AGGGUUUUCUUGCUGAGCUCUGUCCACCCAUUAUUUUAUUAUCGCUGUUUCUCAGCUUGGAUUGACUAAGAGAAUGAUGUCCUCAAACCUCCUCCCUGCUGCCUAGCAGAACAUUUGGUGAGAAGGAAAAACCACUGCUAAGCAAUGCCACAGGCUGGCAAGGACACGAAGCAGUGGCUCACUCAUACAUUGCUUCUUCUAGAAUACUACGUGUAGGAAGACAUGCCCAAGGCUGCCUGGACCAUCGUUUCCAAUAGUUAAAAAGAGGCCCACACUCAUAUGAAAACACAGAACAGAGUGGACCGUAAGAUCUGGGAAAACACGGAGCGGCUGAGCAUCAUUUUAAAAGAAUACCAGGAAGGAAGAGGCACACGCCUGACUCAUGGGGAAGGACUAAAUAAAGCAAAGAAUCUCUUUAGGCUUAAAUUGAAGAGUAUGGAAGAGGAGGGCCUGAAGUAAAAGAAUCAAGGAAGCCCGAGUGCCACAACAAACAAGAACGAGUUUGAACCUUCUAAGCGCUGAGUACCACGGGACAGCAGGCUGGUCCGCCCAUCUCCGUAGAGUCUGAGGAUAUGUUGUGGACUGUGGGAGUACAAAUGGCUGAGACCCAGCCUCUGACAUUGUAGAGUGACCAAAGCGCACCUCAGGGGUCUUGCACAGGCGGAGGACACUAACGGGCACAGUGAUGUGCCCACAGGAGGGCAGAAAGUCACAGGUAAAAGAAUGACCACUAGUUAGUAGUUUCCCAAAGGAAGCUGGCAUUUGGCCCAGACAUUUACUGAACCUCUAUUAAUCAUUCAAGAAAAUUCUACCCCUGAGGAUGAUAGGCACCUGCCAAAAUACUGUUUAAACAUUUGGGGGGAAAUGGCUUAAAUGACCAUAAAUGAAGAUUCACUUUAAACAAAGGUAUGUGUUUACGGGAUGGAUUUUGGCUCAACACCACUAAAUUCAUGUAUUGGAAUGCUGCCCUCAGGACCUCAGAAUGUGACUCUAUUUGGAUAUAAGGCAUUUAAAGUUAGUGGGCCCUAAUUUAUCAUCUCAGACACACACAGGGAGAAGCCCAUAUAUGGAAUAAGAUAGCCAUCCAAAAACAAAGAGAGGUCUUUGAAAAAUUAACCCUUUUGACACUUUGAUCUCAGAUGCCUAGCAUCUAGACUUGUGAUCAAACAGAUACUUAUUUAAAUUACCCAGUCACGGAAACUUGGUUCUGCUAUGGUAGCUCCAGUAAAUAAAUACAGUUCAGUAUCUCUAAGUCAGCCGUUAUCAACCUGUGGGUCACAACCCUUUUUUUUUGGGGGGGGGAAGUGUCUAACAACCCUUUAAAGGGGUCACCUAAUAACCAUCAGAAAACGUAGGUCUUUAGAUGAGCACACUUUCAGUUAUGCAGAGUAGCACACUUUCAGUUAUGAAGCAGCCACAAAAACAAUUUUAUGAUUGGGGUCACCACAACAUGAGUAACUGCACUAAAGGUUGCAGCAUUAGGAAGGUUGAGAACCACAGUUCUAAGUGAUAGCAAAAAUGACGCAUUGGCCUCUAAGUGUAUAUAUUAUGAUUUGACUAUGAAAUGUCCCUCAAAAAGUCGGAGUGCUGAAAGCGUGGUCCCCAGCCAGUGGAUGCUGCCAUUGAGACCUGAUUGGAUCAUGAGGAUCCCCUCAGGAUCAAUGGGCUAACCAAUAGACUAGUUUCCAGAAUUGUGACUCCAUGGAUUGAGAAGUGAUGGAAAUGUUCAGAAGUAAUCGCUGAGGCCAUGUCCUUGUCCCUGUUCCAAGCGUGUCGCUGCUUCUCCAUUCUCAUGAGAUGGGCAGCUCUGCUCAACCUACAGGCUCCCACAAUGAUGCUUCAGCCUCUUUCAGGCCACAGCAAUGGGCUAGCCUGGCAUAGAUUGAAAACAUGGACCCAAAUGAACCUCUCCCUUGGCUGAGCUACUUAUGUCAGGAGUUUUGUCACAGCAUUGAAAGGACAAUUUAAGCAACAUCCAAACUACCCUACUGGACUUUUAAAAAGCAGGCUGCAGCCAGGUGUGGUGGCUCCCACCUUUAAUCCCAGCACUGGUGAGGCAGAAGGGAGCUGAUAUUUGUGAGCUUGAGGCCAACCUGGUUACCUAGGGAGCACUACCCCUAUAUAAUGAGACCCUGUCUCAAAAAAAAUUACUUAAAAAUAAAAAUCAAGCUGCUACAUAUGUGCAGAAUGAUAUAAUCGUUAUAAAAUUGCACAAUUGUACCUAUAUAGGUAGGUGACUGGUAUUUAGGUCCAGAAUUAUGUGUCUGCAUGUUUUAGCCUUUAAAAAUGUAGCUUUGCUGUGAUUAGCCAAUUAUUUUUGCGGUUGUUUGUUUCUUUUUUCCCUUUUAAAGUUUUUUAUUUAUUACAAUUUAUUCACUUUGUAUCACAGUUAUAGUCCCUUCCCUUGUCCCCUCCCAAUCGCCCUCUCCCUCCCUCUUCUCCUCCCAUGGCCCUCUCCCAGUCCACAGAUAAGGAAGGUCCUCCUCCCCUUCCAUCUGAUCCUAGCCUAUCAGGUCUCAUCAGGACUGGCUGCAUUGUCUUCCUCUGUGGCCUGGUAAGGCUGCCCCCGCUCAGGGGGAGGUGAUCAAAGAGCCAGCCACUGAGUUCAUGUCAGAGACAGUCCCUGUUCCAGAGACUGAGCUGCCAUGGGCUACAUCUGUGCAGGAGUUCUAGGUUAUCUCUAUGCAUGGUCCUUGGUUGGAGUAUCAGUCUCAGAAAAGACACCUGGGCCCAGACUUUCUGGUUCUGUUGCUCUCCUUUUGGAGCUCCUGUCCCCUGUAGGUCUUUCAAUCUCCCCCUUCUUUCAUAAGAUGCCCUGCACUCUGCCCAAAGUUUGGCUAUGAGUCUCAUUUUUUUCUUUUUUUAUUACCAUUCAUUAUAUGAGUCUCAUUUUUAAGAUAGGGUCUCACAACCCAGCUCAGGCUGGCCUAUUACUUUAACACACAUGCAAAUGAAAAGACUCAGUAGGAAUAAAUAUAUAGAGCAAUGGAGGAAUGAGCUCAGGGCAGAACCUCGGGAAUGCUGGCAUUUAAGGGACAGAAGGCAGCAAACCCAACAACAACAGAUUACUCAGAGAAAGGAAAAGCCAGAGCACAGUUCCAAAGAAGCAGGAAAAGCUUUAAAGGGAAGAGGUUGCUAAGCCCUGCUCAGCACUGCAGAGAGGGGCCCUGUGGAAGGUGGCAGGAGAGUGUUGCACAUGGCAUCGGAAGGGCAAGUGGUGGGCGAUGGGUGGGCGGGCAGUUGGGAUUUAGGAAGAUAAAUGCAUCGAGGAAGGCAGGCUGGAAAGCCACAAAUAGUGAACGGAAUUAGAGACCUUCGGGUACAGAAGCAGAUUGUCAUCAUCGGGCUAGGAAUAGCCUUAUAGGAUGUAGAGAUGACGGUUACCCUAGAAACCCUGGGAGGAGAGCCUUAGCAACAUGGGCUGCACUGUGCUGAAGAUGUUCUUGGCCCCAUCCUAGUUUUAUCUGUCAAUUAGCCUGGAGUCUCUGCUUAAUGGGAAAGUUGUUUCUCUAUGCCCUGGCCUUGGCGUGAAAUCCCUGAAAGGCUCCUUCGUAAUGCCAAAGGUGAUGGCAGCUGCUGGUAUAAAAUUUCUGUUGGGAAGCUCCUCUAAUGUGACAAGAAAGAAACUCAUUUGACCAGUGCAGAACUUGCUUUUUUGUCUGGUUCUCUAGCCUCUAGCCAGGCAACCAUAGAAUAAGGACUGAUAAAAAGCAAGCAGACAGUUUGGGGGGGGGGGGGGUGGCUUGGAAAGCAUACAGACCCAGCUUCUUCUCCUUUCCUUUAACUGGGUAGUUCUGAAAAGUCAUACUUUUUCCACAUAUACCCACAUUUACCUGACUUGUCUCAUUAAAUCUUUACAUAAUUUAAAGUAGACAUUAUCACUCUCUUUUUCACUCUUUUUUUUAAAUGUUCUUUUUAUAAGAGAGCAAGAGAGAGUGUGUGUUUGUGUGUUAAUGAAUACAGUGACUGAGAAUGCCAGAGGCAUCAGAUCCCUUACAGGUGGUUGUAAGCUGCCUGACAUGGGUUCUGGAAACAAAACUUGGGUCUUUGCAAGAGAAUUGUAUGCUUUUAACUGCUGAGCCAUCUCUUCAGCCUUUCUUUUUACUCUUGAUUCUUGUCAGAUAGUAAGAGUCAGAAUCUUGUCAUGGAUAUGGAACCUGAGGCUCAGGAAGUCUUGUUAUUCACCUGAGACCACACACAGUACCUAAGAGCAAUAUCGGGGUGCUGAGGAGGCCGGGCCAGUGUUCACAGGAGGUAGAUUCAAAAUUCCAUGUUAAAGAAUAGGAGGGUGCCUUUUACCAUAAGACCAAAACAUUUGUACGUUUCACCCAAUCUUUGUUACUCCUCCUCAGAUGUUUUCAAACUUUCCCUUAAGAGCAAAGCAUCAGCCAUACCCCGUCCUUUUAUUCCCAUCAUCUUCAAUUUUCUUUCCUCUGGGACACUGAAAUUCCUUAGCAAUAGCCAGCCCUGAGAUAUCCUCAGACGAUGAAGCUGCACUGAGUGCUCACAGCUCGGGGGAGGAUGGUCUGGCUGUCGCAAUCACUCUCCCGUAAACAUAUAUUUUUGUACCAGACGUGGACUGGGGGCUAAGAGAGAUAAUGUUUUAGGCCAGCAGAAUUCACCCUAGAGACACUUCUGAGCACAGCCUUGACAAAUGCUGCAGAUAUUCCUAGAAUUCACCUCCACAUGCUGUCAACUAUGUCAAGCUUGAAAAUUCCUUGUCUCUUGUCCCGAUUAGCUUUUAGUGUCAUUUUUGACAUAACCUAACAUCACCCAGGAAGAGACACCUCGACUGAGGGAUUUCUCAGAUGAGACUGACCUGUGCUCAUGUCUGUAAAAGACUGCCAAAUAAACUCUUUCCUUCCCAGGUUGCUUUUGGUCAGAGUGUGUUAGCAUAGCCACAGAAAGCUCAUUGGAACCUCCCCCUGAAGGAGAACAAUAGGGGGACUAAUGGCUCAGCCUCCCACCUUCCCUGAACACUGAUGGGCAAGCCCGUUUGUCUAGACAUUUUCUUACUGUCUGGUACCUCAAGAUGACCCACUUCCUCCUGGUGUCUCUCUUGUGGGAUUUGUAGCUCUACCUGAAACAAAAAGCAAUUGCUAAGGGGAGGUAGUUUUUCAUGUGUGUGUGUAUUAUGUUUCAAGCUAGUCUGGGCUACACUGUAAGAUUCUGCCUAUCCAACUCCCUCCUCUCUGUUUGUGUGUGUAGGGAGGUAGGGAGGUAGGUAGAUAGAUAGAUAGAUAGAUAGAUAGAUAGAUAGAUAGAUAGAUAGAUAGAUGUGGGUAUGUAUAUAUAAUACAUAUAUAUAUAUUCAUACAUAG